GAAGGUAAGAAUCCUGUAAGCGAAAUGGCGAAAGACUGGAAGGAAUCCUGAGUACCACGAGGCACGUGAAAUCUAGUGGGAAUUUGGGGGGACCACCCCCUAAGGCUAAAUACUCCUUAGCGACCGAUAGAGAACAAGUACCGUGAGGGAAAGGUGAAAAGAACCCCGGAAGGGGAGUGAAAAGAACCUGAAACCGGAUGCUUACAAGCUGUCACAGCACGAUAAGAGUGUAGUGGCGUACUUUUUGUAGAACGGACCGGCGAGUUGCGCAGUCAAGCGAGGUUAAAGUGAAGAGCUGGAGCCGAAGCGAAAGCGAGUCUGAAGAGGGCGAAAGUUUGGCUGAGCAGACCCGAAACCGGGUGAUCUACCCAUGAGCAGGAUGAAGCGUUAGUAAAAUAACGUGGAGGUCCGAACCAGGUAUCGUUGAAAAGAUAUUGGAUGACUUGUGGGUAGGGGUGAAAUUCCAAUCGAACUCGGAGAUAGCUGGUUCUCCUCGAAAUAGCUUUAGGGCUAGCCUCGUUAAAGAAUCCCACGGAGGUAGGGCGCUGAUUUUCCUAGGGGGCGUCAAAGCUUACCGAAGAAUAUCAAACUGCGAAUGCCGUGAGGAGGAUAAACGGGAGUCAGACUGUGCGAGAUAAGUUGGACAGUCAAAAGGGAAAGAGCCCAGACCUCCAGCUAAGGUCCCAAAGUGUGCAUUAAGUGGGAAAGGAUGUGGAACCUCGAAAACAGCUAGGACGUUGGCUUAGAAGCAGCCAUACGUUGAAAGAGUGCGUAAUAGCUCACUAGUCGAGAGGUUGUGCGCCGAAAAUGUCCGGGGCUAAAAUGCAGCGCCGAAGCUGAGGAAUCCGACCUGAAAGGGACGGGUUGGUAGAGGAGCAUUGUAGGAAAGGAAGAAGCGAAGCUGAGAGGCUUGGUGGACAGACUACAAGAGAGAAUGCCGGAAUGAGUAGCGAGAGGAAGGUGAGAAUCCUUCCGGCCGAAUAUCUGAGGUUUCCAGGGUAAAGCUGAUCUGCCCUGGGUAAGUCGGGACCUAAGGCGAGGCCGAGAGGCGUAGUCGAUGGACAACAGGUAGAGAUUCCUGUACUUACGGUAUGAAUGAAGGAGUGACGGAGAAGGCUAGCGGAUCCUGCUGCUGGAAUAGCAGGUGCAAGCGAGGUAGCUGACAGCCAGGCAAAUCCGGCUGUCGAAAGGCGAAGACGUGAAGCGGAUGGAAAGCUGAGGCAAGUACAGAAGUCCGUGAAGCAGGCUUCCAAGAAAAGCUUCUAGUGUUAAUCAUACAGUAACCCGUACCGAAAAUGGACACACAUGGGUGAGGAGAGAAUCCUAAGGUGAGCGAGAGAACUAUAGCUAAGGAACUCUGCAAAAUGACUCCGUAACUUAGGGAUAAGGAGUGCUCAUAGAGAUAUGAGCCGCAGUGAAACGGCCCAAGCGACUGUUUACCAAAAACACAGCUCUAUGCUAAGUCGAAAGACGACGUAUAUGGGGUGACGCCUGCCCGGUGCUGGAAGGUUAAGAGGAUGUGUCAGCGAAAGCGAAGCAUUGAAUUGAAGCCCCAGUAAACGGCGGCCGUAACUAUAACGGUCCUAAGGUAGCGAAAUUCCUUGUCAGGUAAGUUCUGACCCGCACGAAAGGCGUAACGAUUUGGGCGCUGUCUCAGCUGUAGACUCGGUGAAGUCUUAGUACCUGUGAAGAUGCAGGUUACCCGCGACUAGACGGAAAGACCCCAUGGAGCUUUACUGCAGCUUGAUAUUGGACUUUGAUGCAAGAUGUACAGGAUAGGUAGGAGACUGAGAGACAUGCACGCCAGUGUGUGAGGAGUCGAUGUUGGGAUACUACUCUUCUUGUAUUGGAGUUCUAACCGGAUGCCAUGGAACUGGCAACGGGACAGUGUCAGGCGGGCAGUUUGACUGGGGCGGUCGCCUCCCAAAGAGUAACGGAGGCGCCCAAAGAUACCCUCAGCAUGGUUGGAAAUCAUGCGAAGAGUGCAAAGGCAGAAGGGUGUUUGACUGCGAGACCAACAAGUCGAGCAGGGACGAAAGUCGGGCUUAGUGAUCCGGCGGUGCUGAAUGGAAAGGCCGUCGCUCAACGGAUAAAAGCUACCCUGGGGAUAACAGGCUGAUCUCCCCCAA
rnacentral:rRNA from 1 species